UACAGAGGUCUCAAGCGUUGUUCGGAUUCAUUGGGCGUAAAGGGUGCGUAGGUGGCGCGCUAAGUCAGGUGUGAAAUUUCGGAGCUUAACUCCGAAACUGCAUUUGAUACUGGCGUGCUUGAGGACUGGAGAGGAGACUGGAAUUCAUGGUGUAGCAGUGAAAUGCGUAGAUAUCGUGAGGAAGACCGGUGGCGAAGGCGGAUCUCUGGACAGUUCCUGACGCUGAGGCGCGAAGGCCAGGGGAGCAAACGGG
rnacentral:rRNA from 1 species